rnacentral:rRNA from 1 species
ACACGGCGUAAAGGGUGGUUAAAAUUCUUUAAAACUAAAGCCGAACACUUUCAUAACUGUUAUACGUUCUCGAGAGUAAGAAGCCCUACUACGAAAGUAGCUUUAAACUCUUUGACCCCACGAAAGCUGUGGAACAAACUGGGAUUAGAUACCCCACUAUGCCCAGCCCUAAACCUAGGCAGAUAUUUUACACUCUGCCCGCCCGGGUACUACGAGCACUAGCUUAAAACCCAAAGGACUUGGCGGUGCUUAAGAUCCCCCUAGAGGAGCCUGUUCUAGAACCGAUAACCCCCGUUAAACCUCACCUUUUCUUGUUAUUUCCGCCUAUAUACCGCCGUCGUCAGCUUACCCUGUGAAGGCUCAACAGUAAGCAAAACCAGCC